rnacentral:ncRNA from 2 species
GCGUAUGCGAAGGGGUGCCCCGAAGGAGGGCUGAGAACAGACCCUAGGAACCUGAUCUGGUUAGCACCAGCGGAGGGAGAACGGAAAAAGGACGAUG